rnacentral:rRNA from 1 species
GGGCCCGCACAAGCGGUGGAGCAUGUGGUUUAAUUCGAUGCAACGCGAAGAACCUUACCUACACUUGACAUGCUGAGAAGUUACUAGAGAUAGUUUCGUGCCUUCGGGAACUCAGACACAGGUGCUGCAUGGCUGUCGUCAGCUCGUGUCGUGAGAUGUUGGGUUAAGUCCCGCAACGAGCGCAACCCUUGUCCUUAGUUGCCAGCCUUAAGUUGGGCACUCUAAGGAGACUGCCGGUGUUAAACCGGAGGAAGGUGGGGAUGACGUCAAGUCCUCAUGGCCUUUAUGCCUGGGGCUGCACACGUCCUACAAUGCGGCGUACAAAGCGAUGCAAGAUCGUGAGAUGGAGCAAACCGCAGAAACGCCGCCCAGUUCGGAUUGCAGGCUGAAUUCGCCUGCAUGAAGCCGGAAUCGCUAGUAAUCGCGGAU